rnacentral:rRNA from 1 species
CCUACGUGAGGCAGCAGUGGGGAAUAUUGGGCAAUGGGCGCAAGCCUGACCCAGCAACGCCGCGUGAACGAAGAAGGCUUUCGGGUUGUAAACUUCUUUUCUCAGGGACGAAGAAAGUGACGGUACCUGAGGAAUAAGCCACUGCUAACUACGUGCCAGCAGCCGCGGUAAGACGGAGGUGGCAAGCGUUAUCCGGAUUUACUGGGUGUAAGGGGGGUGUAGGCGGGAAAGUAAGUCAGAUGUGAAAACCAUGGGCUCAACCUGUGGCCUGCAGUUGAAACUGUUUUUCUUGAGUACUGGAGAGGCAGACGGAAUUCCUUGUGUAGCGGUGAAAUGCGUAGAUAUGAGGAGGAACACCAGUGGCGAAGGCGCUCUGCUGGACAGCAACUGACGCUGAGGCGCGAAAGCGUGGGGAGCAAACAGGAUUAGAUACCCCAGUAGUC